AAGUCUGCAGAUUCUGGCCGAUGAUGUCACUGACACAAAGAUGAAAGUGCAAAACAGGUAGCCUUAAAUCAGCUUCCUGGCAAGAACAGCUGCAUGUUGGACAUGGCUUUGCAGAGUACUCUGGAAGCAGCAUGUCUGGGGCUUCUCAUCAGCUCUCUCUGGAAAGUUGCAGAGAGCAAGGACCAAGUGUUUCAGCCUUCCACAGUGUCAUCUUUGGAGGGAGCUGUCGCGGAAAUCUCCUGUAACCACUCUGUGUCCAAUGCUUACAGCUUCUUCUGGUACCUUCGAUUCCCAGGAGGUGCCCCAAGACUUCUUGUUAAGGGCUCAAAGCCUUCUCGGCAGGGACGAUACAACAUGACGUAUGAACGGUUCUCUUCAUCACUGCUCAUACACCAGGUGCAGGAGGCAGAUGCGGCUGUUUACUACUGUGCUGUGGAGGACACAGAGGCAGGGAACCCAUCUAGGGCUGAACAGAAACCGCCAGCCUUCGCAGGAGGCAGAAAGGAGAAGAGCAAUAUCUCUCCCAUCUAGUUUGAUGUUCUCUAAGACUUUUCAUUUCACUGCUCUCAGAAAAAAAAAAUUGAGUCCAGACAGUCUAUCUAUUAGCAAAUGUCUAUAAGAAAAUAUGCUUUUAAGGAGUAAUUCAUUGUCAAUAGCAAUGCUGUAAAGUCAUAUUUCAAAUGGU